AGCACCGGAUUGGAAUCUACCAUU
rnacentral:siRNA from 1 species